rnacentral:siRNA from 1 species
UGAGUUAAGUUUAGGCAAUUCA